CCGACGAGUUGGUGAAGCGCGACUCCGACGAGUCCGGCUGGUACACCGAGUUGGUUGAGGCAGAGAAGAAGACGACGGCGAAGAAGAAGAAGGGGAGGCCGAGUGGCAGGGUGCAGGAGGGGGAGGCAGAGGCGCAGCCGGCGCCGGCGCCGGCGCCGCGCGUGUUCUUCUCCGUCGGCGUCGCCCCUCCUCCCGCCACCGCGCAGAAGCCGCCGACCAGCGAAUGGUGUAAUAGUGCAAAUGGUGUAAUGGUGUAAUGGUGCAAAUGGUGUAACGGUGUAAUGGUGCAAAAUUGUAAUGGUGUAAUGGUGCAAAU
rnacentral:lncRNA from 1 species